rnacentral:lncRNA from 1 species
UAUGUAUGAAUAGUUAUACUGUUUUGUAGUAGGUGUGAUUAACUUUAACCCAAUGGUUAAGGGGUGUUUAUAAUUUAUGUUUAAUUGUUUAAGUACUUAAUAGAGUUUAAACCUAUGAUAUUUGGAUUUAGGAAUGUUGGGGGUUUAGGGUAUAGUGAUUACUAAUUUUGAUGUUGUUUUACCAUCUAUGACUAGUUUAUAUUGUUUUGAUGACGGUGUUCUUUUUUUUUUUUGUGCAACGAUGACAGUGUUCUCUAACUUAAUAUCAUGGUUAAGUUAAUCAUAAACCUAAGGAUUAACUCUAAAUUCGAUGGUUAACUCUAA